rfam:Aedes albopictus isolate Foshan contig100036, whole genome shotgun sequence.
UAGCCUAGUGGUUAAGGCUAUGGAUUGCCAAUCCAGAGACGGCGGGUUCGAUUCCCGU